GAUGUACGCUGGCGGCGUGCCUAAUACAUGCAAGUCGAGCGAACAGACGAGGAGCUUGCUCCUCUGACGUUAGCGGCGGAAGGGUGAGUAACACGUGGAUAACCUACCUAUAAGACUGGGAUAACUUCGGGAAACCGGAGCUAAUACCGGAUAAUAUAUUGAACCGCAUGGUUCAAUAGUGAAAGACGGUUUUGCUGUCACUUAUAGAUGGAUCCGCGCCGCAUUAGCUAGUUGGUAAGGUAACGGCUUACCAAGGCAACGAUGCGUAGCCGACCUGAGAGGGUGAUCGGCCACACUGGAACUGAGACACGGUCCAGACUCCUACGGGAGGCAGCAGUAGGGAAUCUUCCGCAAUGGGCGAAAGCCUGACGGAGCAACGCCGCGUGAGUGAUGAAGGUCUUCGGAUCGUAAAACUCUGUUAUUAGGGAAGAACAAAUGUGUAAGUAACUAUGCACGUCUUGACGGUACCUAAUCAGAAAGCCACGGCUAACUACGUG
rnacentral:rRNA from 1 species